UACGGAGGGUGCAAGCGUUAUCCGGAAUCACUGGGCGUAAAGCGUCUGUAGGUUGUUUAAUAAGUCUGCAGUUAAAGGUUGAAGCUUAACUUCAAAAAUGCCGUAGAAACUUUUAAACUAGAGGAUGGUAGGGGUAGAGGGAAUUUCCAGUGGAGCGGUGAAAUGUGUAGAUAUUGGAAAGACCACCGAUGGCGAAGGCACUCUACUGGGCCAUGACUGACACUGAGAGACGAAAGCGAGGGGAGCAAAUGGG
rnacentral:rRNA from 1 species